rnacentral:rRNA from 1 species
CACGUAGGGGGCGAGCGUUGUCCGGAUUUAUUGGGCGUAAAGGGCUCGUAGGCGGCUCGGUAAGUCAGGUGUGAAAACUCUAGGCUCAACCUAGAGACGCCACCUGAUACUGCUGGGCUAGAGUCCGGAAGAGGCGAGUGGAAUUCCUGGUGUAGCGGUGAAAUGCGCAGAUAUCAGGAGGAACACCGAUGGCGAAGGCAGCUCGCUGGGACGGUACUGACGCUGAGGCGCGAAAGCGUGGGGAGCAAACAGG